rnacentral:tRNA from 1 species
UCCCUGAUAGCUCAGUUGGUAAAGAAUCUGCCUGCAAUGCAGGAGACCCUGGUUCGAUUCCUGGGCCAGGGCA